GAUGAACGCUGGCGGCGUGCCUAAUACAUGCAAGUCGAGCGAACGGAUAAGGAGCUUGCUCCUUUGACGUUAGCGGCGGACGGGUGAGUAACACGUGGGUAACCCACCUAUAAGACUGGGAUAUCUUCGGGAAACCGGCGCUAAUACCGGAGAAUAUUUCGAACCGCAUGGUUCGAUAGUGAAAGAUGGUGUUGCUGGCACUUAUAGAUGGACCCGGGCCGUAUUAGCUGGUUGGUAAGCUAACGGCUUACCAAGGCGACGAUACGUAGCCGACGUGAGAGGGUGAUCGGCGACAUUGGAGCUGAGACGCGGACAAUGCUCCUGAGGGAGGCAGCAGUAGGGAAUCUGCCGCAAUGGGCGAAAGCAUGACGGAGCAACGCGGCGUGAGUGGUGAAGGUCUUCCGAGCGUAAAACUCUGUUAUUAGGGAAAAACAUACGUGUAAGGAACUGUGCACGUCUUGACGGUACCUGAUCAGAAAGCCACGGCUAACUACGUG
rnacentral:rRNA from 1 species